GUUCAACUAUCGAGAAUCUGGAGUACAACAUGUUCUUCUCGUAAGCACGGCUGAGAUUGGCCUUCAAGAAGGGAGAGGCUUGUCUGGCACUGAGAAGCCCAUUUAAAGCACAGCAAUACAGAAAACUAGAGUAAGAGUGGGACAGAACCAAAAGGGAAGAAACACAGGCCUGAUAAGUACUACAGCCCUGACACUGGGCCUCAGACAACCCGUUCAGGCUCCUUUGCUUUUAAGGGUUUGUUGUUGUUGUUUUGUUUUGUUUUUUGAAAGAUUUAUUUAUGGGCUGGAGAGAUGACUCAGCGGUUAAGAGCACUGACUGCUCUUCCAGAGGUCCUGAGUUCAAAUCCCAGCAACCACAUGGUGGCUCACAACCAUCUGUAAUGGGAUCCGAUGCCCUCUUCUGGUGCGUCUGAAGACAGUGACAGUGUACUCAGAUCCAUGAAAUCUUUAAAGAUUUAUUUAUUUUGUGUACAUAAGGAUACUCACAUAUAUGAAAUAAAUAAAUCUUAGCUGUACAG
rnacentral:lncRNA from 1 species